CCUACGGGAGGCAGCAGUGGGGAAUAUUGCACAAUGGGGGAAACCCUGAUGCAGCGACGCCGCGUGAGUGAAGAAGUAAUUCGUUACGUAAAGCUCUAUCAGCAGGGAAGAAACACUGACCUUACGGUCAGCAGACGGUACCUGAGUAAGAAGCCCCGGCUAACUACGUGCCAGCAGCCGCGGUAAUACGUAGGGGGCAAGCGUUAUCCGGAUUUACUGGGUGUAAAGGGAGCGUAGACGGUGCGCCAAGUCUGGAGUGAAAUGCCGCAGCUUAACUGCGGAACUGCUUUGGAAACUGGCGAAAUAGAGUUGGGGAGGGGUAAGCGGAAUUUCCAGUGUAGCGGGGAAAUGCGGAGAUAUUAGGAGGAACCCCGGGGGCGAAGGCGGCGUACCGGACCGUAACGGACGUUGAGGCUCGAAAGCGUGGGGAGCAAACAGGAUUAGAUACCCGAGUAGUC
rnacentral:rRNA from 1 species